AACGAACGCUGGCGGCAUGCCUAACACAUGCAAGUCGAACGAGACCUUCGGGUCUAGUGGCGCACGGGUGCGUAACGCGUGGGAAUCUGCCCUUGGGUUCGGAAUAACAGUUGGAAACGACUGCUAAUACCGGAUGAUGACUUCGGUCCAAAGAUUUAUCGCCCAGGGAUGAGCCCGCGUAGGAUUAGCUUGUUGGUGAGGUAAAGGCUCACCAAGGCGACGAUCCUUAGCUGGUCUGAGAGGAUGAUCAGCCACACUGGGACUGAGACACGGCCCAGACUCCUACGGGAGGCAGCAGUGGGGAAUAUUGGACAAUGGGCGAAAGCCUGAUCCAGCAAUGCCGCGUGAGUGAUGAAGGCCUUAGGGUUGUAAAGCUCUUUUACCCGGGAUGAUAAUGACAGUACCGGGAGAAUAAGCCCCGGCUAACUCCGUGCCAGCAGCCGCAGUAA
rnacentral:rRNA from 1 species